rnacentral:rRNA from 1 species
CAGCCGCCACGGGAAUACGGAGGAUCCAAGCGUUAUCCGGAUUUAUUGGGCGUAAAGCGAGCGCAGGCGGUUAGAUAAGUCUGAAGUUAAAGGCUGUGGCUUAACCAUAGUACGCUUUGGAAACUGUUUAACUUGAGUGCAAGAGGGGAGAGUGGAAUUCCAUGUGUAGCGGUGAAAUGCGUAGAUAUAUGGAGGAACACCGGUGGCGAAAGCGGCUCUCUGGCUUGUAACUGACGCUGAGGCUCGAAAGCGUGGGGAGCAAACAGGAUUAGAUACCCCUGUAGUCCCUGUCUCUUAUACA